CUGUGUGAAUAUGCAUGACCUGAAUUGGGAAUAUAAUGGAGGUCAACUUUCUGAGUUUCCAAGCGUACAUAAUUCUUCUGCCCUGCUCUCUGAUAAGAAUAUAAAUGAACCAAUUGAGCAGGCAAACCAUUUGCUACAGAACCUCAAUUGUGUGGGUUGUCCAAAUAUUAGGAAAGUUCUCAUUCCACCAAUGGCACGAUGUUUCCAUUUGUUGUCACUAAACCUGUCUUUAUCUGCCAAUUUGAAGGAAGUUGAUGUUACUUCUUUUAAUUUGUGUUUUCUUAAUUUGAGUAAUUGUUGCUCUUUGGAGGUAUUGAAGCUUGAGUGUCCUAGACUGACCAGUCUCUUUCUACAGUCUUGUAACAUUGAUGAGGAAGACGUUGAAGCUGCCGUAUCUCGAUGUAGCAUGCUGGAGACUCUAGAUGUGCGUUUUUGUCCAAAGAUUUGCUCGAUAAGCAUGGGGAGAUUGCGAUCAGCAUGCCCAAGUUUGAAGCGUGUCUUUAGCAGCCUGUCACCUUCAUAAUGUGAAGAGAGAAUUUUGUUUCAUUUUUCCAAUCGUGAUUCACUUUGAGGUGAAGCGGCGGCUUUAUUUGGUGUGAUAUCUUCUGUUUCACUUGCUGUGUUGUAAAUGCACUGCUGUCUUGUUGAUGUUG
rnacentral:misc_RNA from 1 species